rnacentral:snoRNA from 1 species
AUGAUGAAUCGUUUUCACAAACUUGAUUUCCUGUGAACUCACCAUGUACUAAGGAAAAAAACAUGCAUCACCAUCUGA